CUCUUAAGGAUGGAGGCUCGGAGCUCGGAGAAAUGACGUGGUUUUUUGUUUCUAGUUCACUGCUGGCUUUGGUGGAUUUUGAUGAUGACCUUGUUGUGUCUCCUCAUUUCAUAUUCCACCCAUUUAAGGGAUGAGAAAACAGCGGCCCAGAGAGGUGGUGUCACCUUGCUGGGCAGUGUGGCAGAGAUGCAGGAUCCCGGGUUGGAUCCUGGAACAGAAAAAGGACGGUAGUGGAAGAGCUGGUGAAACCCAGAUCACGUGGAGAUUAAUAAUACCAAGGUCAACCUCUCAGCGUGACGACCGUGCCACGAUUCUGUAAGAUGCUAGCAUCAGAGGACCCUGGGCAAAGAGGAGAUGGGAACGCUCACCGUCUUUGCAACUUUUCUGUAAAUCUAAAAUUAUCCCGUAAUAAAAGGUUAAUUUUUAUUUUCGGCA